rnacentral:tRNA from 1 species
CAGGGAAUAGUUUAUUUAAAAUAUUAAUUUUGGAGAUUAAUGAUAAGAGUAUUUCUUUUCUCUGA